rnacentral:rRNA from 1 species
CAAGGCGACGAUCGGUAGCCGGACUGAGAGGUUGAACGGCCACAUUGGGACUGAGACACGGCCCAAACUCCUACGGGAGGCAGCAGUGGGGAAUAUUGCACAAUGGGGGAAACCCUGAUGCAGCGACGCCGCGUGAGCGAUGAAGUAUUUCGGUAUGUAAAGCUCUAUCAGCAGGGAAGAAACUGACGGUACCUGACUAAGAAGCACCGGCUAACUAC